GAUGAACGCUGGCGGCGUGCUUAACACAUGCAAGUCGAACGAUGAAGCCCAGCUUGCUGGGUGGAUUAGUGGCGAACGGGUGAGUAACACGUGAGUAACCUGCCCUUAACUCUGGGAUAAGCCUGGGAAACUGGGUCUAAUACCGGAUAGGAGCGUCCACCGCAUGGUGGGUGUUGGAAAGAUUUAUCAGUUUUGGAUGGACUCGCGGCCUAUCAGCUUGUUGGUGAGGUAAUGGCUCACCAAGGCGACGACGGGUAGCCGGCCUGAGAGGGUGACCGGCCACACUGGGACUGAGACACGGCCCAGACUCCUACGGGAGGCAGCAGUGGGGAAUAUUGCACAAUGGGCGCAAGCCUGAUGCAGCGACGCCGCGUGAGGGAUGACGGCCUUCGGGUUGUAAACCUCUUUCAGUAGGGAAGAAGCGAAAGUGACGGUACCUGCAGAAGAAGCACCGGCUAACUACGUG
rnacentral:rRNA from 1 species